CAGGUCGUCUCUUUGCUGCACAAAUACAGAUAUGUACGAGCAGCCGCCUCUAGAACAGCUGGACUGGAGUGGAUGUCCAAAGCAGCCUGUAUCUCUGUCAGCAGGCUGGACAAGACCUGAGGCUGAAAGCCCAUGUCAUGGACAGACCUGUGUGAUAUCAUCAACAGGACAGUCAGGGACAAAAAACUGGGGGAUCUUCAUCAGGGAGGCCACGGCGUCACAGUGACCUGAAAACUGCACAAACAGAAAAAACAGAGACUUAAAAAAAAAAAAAAAAAA